GACGAACGCUGGCGGCAUGCCUAAUACAUGCAAGUCGAGCGGAGUUGAUGGAAAGCUUGCUUUCCUGAUACUUAGCGGCGGACGGGUGAGUAACACGUAGGCAACCUGCCCUCAAGCUUGGGACAACUACCGGAAACGGUAGCUAAUACCGAAUACUUGUUUUCUUCGCCUGAAGAGAACUGGAAAGACGGAGCAAUCUGUCACUUGGGGAUGGGCCUGCGGCGCAUUGGCUAGUUGGUGAGGUAACGGCUCACCAAGGCGACGAUGCGUAGCCGACCUGGGAGGGGGAUCGGCCACACUGGGACUGAGACACGGCCCAGACUCCUACGGGAGGCAGCAGUAGGGAAUCUUCCGCAAUGGGCGAAAGCCUGACGGAGCAAUGCCGCGUGAGUGAUGAAGGUUUUCGGAUCGUAAAGCUCUGUUGCCAGGGAAGAACGCUUGGGAGAGUAACUGCUCCCAAGGUGACGGUACCUGAGAAGAAAGCCCCGGCUAACUACGUGCCAGCCGCCGCCGUAA
rnacentral:rRNA from 1 species